UCUUGUUCUUUCUUAACUAGAUUAUCUACUUUAAAAACUAUCAAACAAAAACAAAAAUCAAUGCAUCACAUAGUUUGCCAUCUUGCCUCAUGUUUUGAAACUACUCGAAUAAUUAAAAAAAAAUGCUUCUAAAUCAUGUUACUAUAAUUAUUUUUUUAUUAUCCAAUGACCGAUGUGGGUGUGCAUAGUCAAUUCAAUCAUUACAAUCGUUAGGUUGGUUAUAUCUUGAUCCUCAAUAGUCAAUUAUUUCCUUUAUAUCUCGUAGGAUACACAUCCCCAAACUUGUUAUCAAUCUCUCACCUCGGGUGUUUAUAAUAAGGUUGCACUCAUUAUUUUCAAGCUUAAAUUUGGUUAGGUUUAAUGAAUGGAAGAAACUAUCUCGACAUGUGAUGAUUCUCCUUGUACUUAAUUGUUGAUAAGCAUGAUUUUCACUCCCAUUCAAGGCUCUCAAAGUGAAUAUUUGGAAGUCAAAUUAAUGAGAUUGCUACUUAAUUUGGUUAAUAUCGAUUGUUGUAGGUAUAUUCAGGUUUGGAUGUCUUUUGAUGAAAAGAAGUGAAACUUGGCUAGAAAGGGCAAAAAAAGAUGAAUUCAAAGUUUGGGGACUAAAUUACAAAUAUCUAAAAGUUGAUUCGGACCAAGAUAUGAUGCUUGAAGAUCACAUAGAACAUAUUAGAUAAAAUUAGAAGACAAGAUAUGAAUACUGGUCGAAGAAAUGAUUUAUGUUGAACAAUUGAGCAAAAUCGAGGAACAAAGUGAACACUUUCAAAGUUAUAGGUGUGUGAUUGCACCUCCUAUACGGUUGCGAUCCCAACCUUUCAAGAAUCAGCAAAAGAACAUGGCAUAAUAUGCAUGUGCAACUGCAGUAUGCCUGCCUGAUCGUCUAAAUAUAAUUCGGCCACAUGGGAUAUUUUCCUUUUUUAAUGAAAAGUCUCUAUGGAAACCAUCUUAGACGCCAAUUUUAGCCACUAUAAGUACAGAAUAUCAUCCAACAUUUGAAGACACCUCUCAUAUCAUACAAUACAUUAAUUCUUGUGAACCAAGGGAGGCCAAUUGUCAUUAUUUUGGGAGAAAUCAAGAGGCAAGAUACAAGAAAUUAAUCAUUUGAAGAUUAAAUCUUGGUUUCGGGUAAAGUAGAAGGAACAGUUGGAGAAUAACCAAGAAUGAUUGAAAAGAUUCAAGAUUUCAUGGCUUCUCCUCUCUUUCUUCACAUAUCUCAAAUCCAAGUGAUAUAUUAUAAACCAAACAUGAUAUUUUGUAACUUUGUAAUUCUAUAAUAUAUUUUAGUCGCUAUGAUAUAGAUG
rnacentral:lncRNA from 1 species